rnacentral:lncRNA from 1 species
UGGGAUUCAAGCUUUCUUCUUCUAGCAACACGAAGCACUGCGUGAUAGGGGAACUUCUAUCUUCAUUAAGAAGUCUGUAGAGAUGGAGCGAUUUGCCUUUAAGAUCAUGCGGUGUCCCCUCCGCCUGAUCCAGAUACAAGGGACUCAGAAUUCCUGUCCCGAGGUGCCCGCACCUGUAUCCAGGCAUGUGCCUCUCUUUCUUGUCCAGAGGGUGGACCUGGACACCAGUCUGUGGCCUUAAGCCUGGGGGUGACCAAGUGGUGGCAUUGCCAGGGCCAAGGACCCCGGGUGACAAAAGGGGACGUGCCCCUGUCCAGGGAAGUUCCUGAGCUCAGGGAUUAUGGGAGGGGCUGUUUGCUGCCCCGGGUCCAAGGAGAAAGCAGCUCCUGCUGAGAAGAGCAGGAAGGCCUGGACACCAAGGUCACAAGGCCCAGUCAGACCCUCUCAGCUGCUUACAAGUGGCUUGUCAUCCAUACACAGCUUCACCGUCCAACACAGGGGCCAUUAAGCACAGGAGGUCACCGAGCACCUGAAGUGUGUCUGGUCCAAAAAGAAAGCAGCUCUUACAGCAAACACACGGUGGGUUCCAAGGACAGCACAGGGAGAAGCCCUCGAAUGGCCCAACCAUGAUGUCCCAGCCAUCACCUUUACGACCGUAAAGCUGGGACGCUUCUGGUUACAAACACACCAUUGGAGUUCCUGCUGAUGCUCAGAGAGUCCAGUGUUGUCUCUGCAGCCACUGGUGUCACUGCUGUGGUGCAGGUUGGAUCAUUGGUCCCAGAACUUCCACAUGCCAAGGAUUUGGCCCCCAAAAAUUCUAUUAAAGUUAAUUUCACCAGUUUCUGGUUUUUCUUUUUCUUUUUUUAUCGAAAUAUAGUUGACUUACAUUGUGUUUCUGUUUUUAUUUAUUUAAAAUAACCUCUGUGGAGUUCCCAUUGUGGUGCAGCAGAGACAAAUCAGACUGGUAUCCAUGAGGAUGCAGAUUCAAUACCUGACUUUGCUCAGUGGGUCAGGGAUCCGGGGUUGCCAUGAGCUGUGGUGUAGGUUGAAGAAGCAGCUCAGAUCCUGAGUUGCUGUGUCUGUGGUGUAGACCAGCAGGUGCAGCUCAGAUUCAAUCCCUAGCCUGGGAACCUCCAUAUGCCAUGGGUGUGGCCCUAAAAAAGAUGGAAGAACAAAAAAAAAAAAAUCCUGUUUUACUCUGCCUUGAUCCUAAUAUUUGAUCUUUUUUUUCUACUUCAUUAUAAGUACCAUAAAUUAUACCAAUGGAGUUGUUGAAAGUGGAUGGAAUGAAUGAACUGACAUGAAUUGAUACAAAUAUAUUAGGUGUUAUUACUCUGUACUGCAGAACACCUGAUGAGGAAGAUUGUAUCACAGAUUUGCAGCCUAGCUCUGCUCCUGACAAACUGCAUGAUAUGAGGCAAUGUAUUAAAUAUUCCUGGAAUCCUGUGUAAAUAGUUAGGAUGCAGCUUGGUUACAUAUAAAGGAAACUCCAAAUGAAAGUGACUUAAACAAGAUAAAUAUCUAUUUCUAUCACACACAUAAACGCCACCAUCAUUUGAGAUCCUGAAACUUUCUAUCUGUCUGCUCUCUCAUCCUCAAGUUCUGAGUCCUGUGGCCCUUAUCUUUUUUCUUUUUCUUUUUCUUUUUUGGCCAUGCCCAUAGCAUGUGGAAAUUCCUGGGCCAGGGUCAAACUCACAUUACAGCAGUGGCAACGCUGGAUCUGCUGAGCCACAGGAAACUCCCUGUGGUUCUUAUCCUUAAGAUUACCUCAAGGUACAAAGGGGUGUCCAGGGCUCCAGCCAUCACUUUCAUAGUCCAAGAGGUAGGAAGAAGUAUCCACCUUUUUGGUUUUCUGUUCUUCAACAGUUAACAGGUUUUGCUUUGUUGUUGUUGUUCUUCUUCUUCUUCUUUUUGUUCUUUUUAGGGCCAAACCCACAGCAUAUGGAAGUUCCCAGGCUAGGGGUCGAAUCAGAACUACAGGUGCUGGCCACAGCUAUAGCCACAGCAACACUGGAUCCUUAACCCAGUGAGCAAGACCAGGGAUCGAACCUGCAUCUUCACAGAUACUAGUCGGGUUGAUUACCCCUGAGCCACAACAGAAACUCCAUAAUGGUUAAUAGUUCUUAUGUAAAUUCUCUCCAUUGAAAUAACUGGUGUGGUUUGCACUUGUCCCCUGACGGAUCCAUUGGGCACAAUAACUUUGGACUUGAGGGGUUUGGGCACAAAGCCCGGUAUAGCACUCCCUGGCUGUGUGACUUUGGGUAAAUUCAUCAAUUCGAUUUCAAAUUCCUCACCCAUAAAAAUGAGAUGCCUCUGCCUGAAGCUGUAGGAUUAAGUGAUGCAAUUCAGGUAGAACAGGCCUGUUUGUGAAAAAUCACAUCUCAGAAUGUAAAGAAGUGAAACAACAUUUUUCUAAUGCAGAAAACUCUCCUGGAAAGGGCUUCCCUCACUGUGGGGUUCUAGAAAGAGAAUGGGAUGGAAGUGGAUAGUAAGUAAUUAUUCUCACUACAAAUUCCUCUACAUUGUUUGAAUUUUUGACCACAGGUGUGUCACCUUCAUUGUGUUUUUAAAAUGGCUCAGAGGAUUUCCUAUUGUGGCUCAGUGGUAACAAACCUGACUAGUCUCCAUGAAGAGGUGGGUUCGAUGCCUGGCCCCUCGCAGUGGUUUAAGGAUCUGGCUUAGCUGUGGCUGUGAUGGGUGUAGGACGGCAACUGCAGCUCUGAUUCAACCCCUAGGCUGGGAACUUCCACAUGUUGCAGGUUCAGCCCUAAAAAGACAAAAAAAAAAAGCAAAAGAAAAAAUGGCACCGAGAUUUUCUGGACAGUGGCUUGUGAGUCAUUUUUGCUUUCUCCUCAUAUUUUCUACUAAAAAUAACUGACUGUUUGACUCAUGUGGGGAGAGGCACGUGACACACCUCCCACAGUGCCUGCCAAUCCAGGUAGCCUGGUGAAGUGGCCUGGACCCCGUCCUUCAGCAGCUCAUCCAGUUGCUGGUCCUCUGGACCCUGUGGCCGCGGCAUUAGGGAGACCAGGGCCCGGGCUUGUGACAAGCAGGGCCAUUCCCUGCCUCGGUGACUGUGGCUGUUAGUCACACAAGCAACAGUGCAGGUUUGUGCUAGCUGAGGCAUAUACCUCCGAUCAAUUACACAUUAUUCUGUAAAGCUUUACUCAUUAUCCCCCAUUUGCGUGAAAGCGAAUGUCCUCGGUAGGCCAGAAGCAGGAUAUGGCUGGGGAAUUCACCAAAAAGAAUUGAUUCAAAGCCAUGCUUACCAACUAUGCCCCUUAUUGGAGCCGGGACAGAGAAAGAUAUCGUUAUGUAUUAGCAAAAAUCAAAUUGUGAUUUAAAGGCAUUAAUUUCGUUAACCAAAUGUAUGCAUGUGAUUAAAAUGCAAUAUUGCUGUGAUUAUAAUGCAAUCAGCAAAUUAUUAAACUGCAAUCAAAACGUAAACAAGUCCUAUGCGUCUGCCAGAAGUCGCCUCAUCUCAUUAUUUUAACUCAAUCUGUAAACUAGUUUUCAGUAAAUAGAAUCUUUCAUAUUUCUCAGCUGUCACAUUUCUUUUUUCCCCAUCUAAUUUGUUAACUGAAAGAAAACAUCAGAGACAUUUUUAAAGGAAGUACUGUAUCUUUCCAAAUGUAAUUUUUUAAAGUAUGCAAAUCAGAGUUUACCAGUAUUAUCAUACAGAAUUGGAUCUGCUAAAAGGAAAAAGAUAUGUUAUGUAUAAACAUCUCACUUGUUUACAACACAAAGAUUAAGCAACUUGUUAAUGAAUGAUAAACUUGACACUAUUUUCAUGAUAGACAAAAUCGUUUACAAAUUAAUUUUUAAAAGAUUACAGUAUAUAAAGAGGCUCAACGCCAGCUUGGAAAUGAUUACAUUUUUAAAAUAUUUUAAUGCAGGUGAUUAUUAGAUGUUAAAAUUAUAAAAUCUCCAAAAUGCAAUCAUCAAAACAUGCAUUUUUUUUUUUUUUUAAUCUUACAUCUUAGUCACAUCCCUAGCUUUGUUUGGCCCACGGUUUUAAAAAUACCUUGCUCAGGGAAUUCCCACCAUGGCUCAGCGAUAACGAACCCUACUAGUAUCCAUGAGCAUGUGAGUUGUAUUGUUACGGCAGCUGCUCAGCAGCCCUGCACCACAGCCUAUCAGCCCUAGCGACAGCCCUGUGGCUAUAGUGUACCAGCUCUAGUGACAGCCCUGUGGCUAUAGUUGUACCAGCUCCAGCAGCUCUGUGUGGCUGCAGUGGAUCAGCUCUUCUACCCGGUAAGAAACCAAGCGAGCACUCGCAGAGCUGGAGAACUCAGAUUUAUUACGUCGGGGGGCUCAGAAGAAGGAGAUGGCUGCCCGGAGUCUGAGCCCCGAAGAGGCUUUCACAGGACUUUUAUGGGCUCCCUCUUCCGGGUCCAUGCUUGGCUGGUCAGACUGGACCGGAGUGAGGUCAGGCAAGGUAGUAGAUGCGGAAACAAGUUUACAGAAGCAGAUGUGUGGGGGAGGGGUGCUUGGGGCAGUUGGCUGGACUUUGCUUAGUCAUCACGGCCGGGGUCUCUCCUUUCUACUUUUUUAUCGGCACAUUUUCUCCUACAGCAUCCUUGGCCUCGCUCAGUGGGUUAAGGAUCAGACGUUGCCAUGAGCGGUGGUGUAGGUCGCAGAUGGGCCUGGGAUUUGGCAUUGCUGCGGCUGUGGUGUAGACCGGCAGCUACAGCUCUGAUUGGCCCCCCAGCCUGGGAACUUCCAUAUGCCACGGGUGCAGCCCUAAAAAAAAAGACAGAAAAAAAAAAAAA